rnacentral:rRNA from 1 species
UUCCGGUUGAUCCUGCCGGAGAUCACUGCUAUCGGAUUGAGAUUAAGUCAUGCAAGUUAAGGCAACUCGUUUGCCUGGCGAACUGCUCCGUAACGCGUAGAUAAUCUACCCUUGGGUACAGCAUACCCCCGGGAAACUGGGUAUAAUUCUGUAUAAGUGUUUUGUACUGGAAUGGCUUAACACUAAAAGCUACGGCGCCCAAGGAUGAAUCUGCGUCCGAUUAUGCUUGUUGGUGGUGUAACGGACCACCAAGGCGACGAUUGGUACGGGCCGUGAGAGCGGUAGCCCGGAGAUGGCCACUGAGACAACGGGCCAGGCCCUAUGGGGUGCAGCAGGCGCGAAAACUGGCCAAUGCGCGAAAGCGUGAGCCGGUCAAUCCGAGUGUAGACCCAUCGGUUUACUUUUAUUAUGUAUACAACGCAUGGUGAAUAACGAGAGGGCAAGACUGGUGCCAGCCGCCGCGGUAAAACCAGCUCUUGGAGUGGUGAUCAUGAUUAUUUGGCUUAAAGUGUGCGUAGCAGGACAGCGUAAGUCCCCUGUGAAAUGCUAGGUCUUAAGCUUAGCACGUGCAGGGGAUACUGCGCGUCUUGGGACCGGGAUAGGUGUAAUGUACGCGACGGGUAGGGGUGAAAUCCGAUAAUCCAUCGCGGACAACCGGUGGCGAAGGCGUUACACUGGAACGGGUCCGACUGUGAGGCACGAAAGCCAGGGGAGCGAACCAGAUUAGAUACCCGGGUAGUCCUGGCCGUAAACGAUGCAUACUAGGUGAUGGCGCGGCCAUGAGCCGUGUCAGUGCCGUAGGGAAACCGUUAAGUGUGCCGCCUGGGAAGUACGGUCGCAAGGCCAAAACUUAAAGGAAUUGGCGGGGGAGCACCACAAGGGGUGAAGCCUGCGGUUCAAUUGGAAUCAACGCCGGAAAUCUC